UGGUGAACCAGCGGAGGGAUCAUUACCGAGUUUACAACUCCCAAACCCAAUGUGAACGUUACCAAACUGUUGCCUCGGCGGGGUCACGCCCCGGGUGCGUAAAAGCCCCGGAACCAGGCGCCCGCCGGAGGAACCAACCAAACUCUUUCUGUAGUCCCCUCGCGGACGUAUUUCUUACAGCUCUGAGCAAAAAUUCAAAAUGAAUCAAAACUUUCAACAACGGAUCUCUUGGUUCUGG
rnacentral:misc_RNA from 1 species